AGCGAACGCUGGCGGCAGGCCUAACACAUGCAAGUCGAACGAACCUUUCGGGGUUAGUGGCGGACGGGUGAGUAACACGUGGGAACGUGCCUUUAGGUUCGGAAUAACUCAGGGAAACUUGUGCUAAUACCGAAUGUGCCCUUCGGGGGAAAGAUUAAUCGCCUUUAGAGCGGCCCGCGUCUGAUUAGCUAGUUGGUUGAGGUAAUGGCUCACCAAGGCGACGAUCAGUAGCUGGUCUGAGAGGAUGAUCAGCCACAUUGGGACUGAGACACGGCCCAAACUCCUACGGGAGGCAGCAGUGGGGAAUCUUGCGCAAUGGGCGAAAGCCUGACGCAGCCAUGCCGCGUGAAUGAUGAAGGUCUUAGGAUUGUAAAAUUCUUUCACCGGGGACGAUAAUCACGGUACCCGGAGAAGAAGCCCCGGCUAACUUCGUG
rnacentral:rRNA from 1 species